AUUGAACGCUGGCGGCAUGCUUUACACAUGCAAGUCGAACGGUAACAGGCCGCAAGGUGCUGACGAGUGGCGAACGGGUGAGUAAUGCAUCGGAACGUGCCCAGUCGUGGGGGAUAACGCAGCGAAAGCUGCGCUAAUACCGCAUACGAUCUAUGGAUGAAAGCGGGGGACCGUAAGGCCUCGCGCCAUUGGAGCGGCCGAUGUCAGAUUAGGUAGGUGGUGGGGUAAAGGCUCACCAAGCCAACGAUCUGUAGCUGGUCUGAGAGGACGACCAGCCACACUGGGACUGAGACACGGCCCAGACUCCUACGGGAGGCAGCAGUGGGGAAUUUUGGACAAUGGGCGCAAGCCUGAUCCAGCAAUGCCGCGUGCAGGAAGAAGGCCUUCGGGUUGUAAACUGCUUUUGUACGGAACGAAAAGGCUCUGGUUAAUACCUGGGGCUCAUGACGGUACCGUAAGAAUAAGCACCGGCUAACUACGUGCCAGCCGCCGCAGUAACAC
rnacentral:rRNA from 1 species